GUGCAGGCUGGCAUUGAAAUCGCAAAACUCUUUCUGAAUGAAGGAGACACGGUGAUUUACACUGUUGGAAGGGAUCCACAGAAUACAAGGAAUAUUGUUGCAGAAGCUCCACCUCUUAUUACAGCUCCAGUAAUUGUUUUGGUUAACAAAAGUACUGCAAGUGCUAGUGAAAUUGUUGCAACAGCACUUCACGACAAUUGCAGAGCUGUUCUUGUGGGAGACAAGACAUAUGGCAAGGGGCUGAUUCAGUCUGUAU
rnacentral:misc_RNA from 1 species